rnacentral:rRNA from 1 species
UACGUAGGUGGCAAGCGUUGUCCGGAUUUACUGGGCGUAAAGAGCGCGCAGGCGGUCGUUCAAGUCGCGUGUGAAAGCCCCCGGCUCAACUGGGGAGGGUCACGCGAUACUGAUCGACUCGAAGGCAGGAGAGGGUAGUGGGAAUUCCCCGGUGUAGUGGUGAAAUGCGUAGAUAUCGGGAGGAACACCAGUGGCGAAGGCAGCUCG